CCUUGCACACAUAUGAAUUCUAUCACUGAUUUUCUAGCUCACACAGUGGCCUAUCUUCAAUCUUGUAUUACUCUGAAUAUAGGCCAUACAAUGUUUGAACAAUGGAGCCAUUUUAAGAUUUAGGGAGUUACAUUUCUUCCCUUUUCUUCUCUUAUGACUGAAUUAUACCAAAGUGUUGAGCUAGAGGAGUAUCCUACUGAUACCUAUGUAAAACUAAACCCUCACAUA
rnacentral:lncRNA from 1 species